UGAACGAACACAAAGUUAACAAACUACCUGCCGGAUCCCUGAAAUCAUGUGGAAAUAGGAUUAUUUGCAGUAGAAAACAAAGUAUAGAAAAUAACGAUGCAGGCGAAGGAGCUGUGCAGCAUAUCAGUGUCACCGUUAGUUACAGCACCUUUUUCUGUCCAAUGGUCUGCAGAUAACCACAUAUCCAUUCUUACUGAAAAAGGAGUGCACGUAUUUGAGUUGAUACCCGCUCCAGCAUCUGUGUACCCAACCUUCAAUUUUUCACGUUCAUUUAUUCACCCUUCAGAAGUAUUGCCGACACAAUCAUUGAAUGAAGAAGUUGACAGAGUAUUAUGGAAGUUGGAACGAGUGGAAUUUUACCUAUUUUUAAUGGAAGAAGCCAUAACGCCAAGUAUAAAUGGGGCAAGAGACAUGGAGCCACGAGUGUUAAGCUUGAGCUGGUCCCCUUGGCGCUUGACGAGUCCCUAUAAAUGCCUGUUAGCCACCGUCACAUCAGCCGGAGCUGUUGACAUUCUUGUAAAAGUAUCAAGGAACUGGUUUUCCGCCUGCGAUCUUUCAGCUGCUUGGAUCGCUAGUAUUCAUGGUGAAUCCAAUGCCCAAGUUAGGGCCAAGCUGAAGACGGCCCCACCUGCUGAGCUGAGAGAUCACCUUAGGCGUUUGCAAGCUACUGCAAUUUGUUGGAGUGAAUUAUAUGAAUCAGGAAAGAAAUGCUUCGCUUAUUUGGUUGUCGGAUAUCGUAACUCAGAAAUAGUUGUAUGGCGUGUCUCCGAGCUCCGUCACAACUAUGAAGAGUUCAAACCCUCCAUUGCCUUCCAGAAGAUUAUGCGCUACAACGCAAGGAUUAAUUUACUAAAAUGGAUUCAACUGGAAAAAGAAGUACUUAUUGUUCUGGGGUACUCAGAUGGUCAAGUUGAUGCAGUUUUACUUGAUGACAUUCAUGAUAAAUCCAGAAAUUGUACAGUAAUCAAAUACUGGUCUGAUGCAGAUCGCACUCCUGUUAGCUGCAUCGAAGUUUGGAAUAGUGCGGAACAUGGGAUGCUAGUUUUAAUUUGUAAGGGUUCUUAUUUGAGUGUGUUGCGACCAUCCCAUAACGGCAGUAUUGCAGAUACACAUGUUAUCCAUAUCAGAGGAUAUUCUAUAACAGGUGUGGUUGAAGCAAGCGAUAGAGUAUUACUAAUCACAACGCAAGAUGGUUGCUUAUUUGCAGUUACUUUUGAGGGUGAAAAUUUGGUCUACAUCGAUGUUAAUAACAAUUUACCAUCAGCUCGUGUUCAGUACUUGGGCCUCUCAUGUUCGUACAACAAAUCUUUAUUUUUCAAUGUAACCAGUCCAGACAUUAUGCAUGAUCAUUUGAUCAACCGAGAACCAAGCACACUGUGUAUAUUUACAAUGGAAGGACAUCCAAAAUGGAAUGCUCGUGAUGUGCUGAUGAAGAAUGAAAGCAGAUCAAUAAUGAGAUAUUGGGAUUGUCUGGAAUCGAUCAGAGUUCAAGUUCUUAAAUCCCAAGAUCCUCCUGACAUGUUACUUUCAGCUCCUGAAAACUUGGACAAAUUAUCUGACUACCACCUGCGUAUCGCUAUGUGGACUUCUAUGAUAGCGGAAUCUUAUGAGAAGAAAAAAUUUCCACGAAGAAUUGCGGGAACUAUAGAAGAAAUGUCCGAUGCUCAUCCCUUAAUUUUCUUGCGCUUGGCGGCCAGACGCCUCACGGAAUUAGGGUCUAAAAAAGAUUUGUCGACGAUGCAAUAUCGUUGCGCCAGUCUACUGCGCUCGUAUAUCGAGGUCUAUUUGGCUGGAGAAGAAGCAGAUGAAGAGGAAGGAGGGGUUGAAACUCUAUCUGUUCAAAACGCAAAGAAAGCUUUGAGCUUUACAGAACAUCUGAGUCGAAUGGAACUUGAACUUUGCGAUAUAUGUGGUGAAAUAAUAACAGAUAUUUCUUGGAAAGCAACCAGCUGCCCAUCGGGCCAUAAACUUCCUAGAUGUGCUAUAACUCUGCUCCAAGUAUCUACAAUAACCUAUCGAAGUUGCCCAAUUUGUGCGCAAAUACUCCAUCCUUCCUUGGAUGAAGAAUAUGACGAACCACUUUGCCCGUAUUGCGAAGUACCAGCUGUGUACGACAGUCGUGUAUUGAAUACCAAAAGAAAGUGUGGAUCACCUCUUAGAAAUUUAUCCAAACGACGGACUACCACAUUGCAACAGCAAAAAAUUCAGGGAACAGAUAAAUCGAAUGAAAAUUGUGAGGAGAAUUUUGAUUAAAAAAGAGCAAUACCUCAGCAGUUGUGAAAACAAUAAGGGUCAAUAAAUGAAUUCAUAACUCUAAGAAGAAACGCGGAUGACGGGAAGACAUGAAUAGUUUUCUUUUAAAGAGGCUACAGUUGUUUGAAUUUCAUUCUAAAUAAAAAUACGUUCAACAAUGAUCAUAUUGCGUACGCUUU